GUAACACGUGAGUGACCUGCCUUUUAGACUGGAACAACUUACCGAAAGGUGAGCUAAUGCCGGAUGAGUUAUAUAAGUGCAUGUUUAUAUAGGAAAAGUUGGGGAGACCUGACGCUGAAAGAUGGACUCGCGUCCCAUUAGCUAGUUGGUAGGGUAAUGGCCUACCAAGGCGACGAUGGGUAGCCGGCCUGAGAGGGUGGCCGGCCACACUGGGACUGAGACACGGCCCAGACUCCUACGGGAGGCAGCAGUGGGGAAUUUUGCGCAAUGCUCGUAAGAGUGACGCAGCGACGCCGCGUGAAUGACGAAGGCCUUCGGGUCGUAAAGUUCUUUCGACAGGGAAGAAAAUGCCUAUAAGUAACUGUGUAUGUAUUGACGGUACCUGUAUAAGCAGCCCCGGCUAACUCCGUGCCAGCAGCCGCGGUAAUACGGAGGGGGCGAGCGUUGUUCGGAGUGACUGGGCGUAAAGAGCACGUAGGCGGUGUUGUAAGUCAUUAGUCAAAGACUAGAGCUCAACUUUAGUAAGGCUAGUGAUACUAUAAUACUAGAGUAUCAGAGAGGAUUGCAGAAUUCCUGGUGUAGCGGUGAAAUGCGUAGAUAUCAGGAGGAAUACCGUUAGCGAAGGCGGCUUACUGGACUGUAACUGACGCUGAGGUGCGAAAGCGUGGGUAGCAAACAGGAUUAGAUACCCUGGUAGU
rnacentral:rRNA from 1 species